AUGGAACACUUAUUUGCUUUGAUGUUGAUCUUCAUCAGUCCUUCAUGUGUCUUCUCCCAAGUCAAACUGGUGGAAUCUGGCCCAGGAACAGCCAAGCCUGGAGAGUCUAUCAGGCUGACCUGCGCCGUCACAGGAUACUCCAUCUCUAGUGGCUACACCUGGAGCUGGAUAAGGCAGCCCCCUGGCAAAGGCCUAGAAUGGUUAGCAGCUAUUGAUUAUGAUGGCAGCACUUACUAUGCACCCUCUCAUCAAAGCAGGAUUUCUAUCACCAAAGACGAUGGCAGGAACGAGUUCUAUCUGCGGAUGUCCUCCCUGAGUAUUGCAGACACAGCCACAUAUUACUGUGCAAGAGGCACAGCGAGAGAACUGAACUGA